rnacentral:rRNA from 1 species
GCAUAACGCGAAGAACCUUACCAGGGCUUGACAUCCCUCUGAUCCUCCUAGAGAUAGGAGCUCCCUUCGGGGCAGAGGUGACAGGUGGUGCAUGGUUGUCGUCAGCUCGUGUCGUGAGAUGUUGGGUUAAGUCCCGCAACGAGCGCAACCCUUAUCUUUAGUUGCCAGCAUUUAGUUGGGCACUCUAGAGAGACUGCCGUCGACAAGACGGAGGAAGGUGGGGAUGACGUCAAAUCAUCAUGCCCCUUAUGUCCUGGGCUACACACGUGCUACAAUGGAUGGAACAACGGGCAGCUAACUCGCGAGAGUACGCAAAUCCCUUAAAACCAUUCUCAGUUCGGAUUGCAGGCUGCAACUCGCCUGCAUGAAGCCGGAAUCGCUAGUAAUCGCGGAUCAGCAUGCCGCGGUGAAUACGUUCCCGGGUCUUGUACACACCG